rnacentral:rRNA from 1 species
GUGGGGAAUUUUGGACAAUGGGCGCAAGCCUGAUCCAGCAAUGCCGCGUGCAGGAAGAAGGCCUUCGGGUUGUAAACUGCUUUUGUACGGAACGAAACGGUCCUGGCUAAUAUCCGGGGCUAAUGACGGUACCGUAAGAAUAAGCACCGGCUAACUACGUGCCAGCAGCCGCGGUAAUACGUAGGGUGCGAGCGUUAAUCGGAAUUACUGGGCGUAAAGCGUGCGCCGGCGGUGCUGUAAGACAGGCGUGAAAUCCCCGGGCUCAACCUGGGAAUUGCGCUUGUGACUGCAGUGCUGGAGUGCGGCAGAGGGGGAUGGAAUUCCGCGUGUAGCAGUGAAAUGCGUAGAUAUGCGGAGGAACACCGAUGGCGAAGGCAAUCCCCUGGGCCUGCACUGACGCUCAUGCACGAAAGCGUGGGGAGCAAACAGGAUUAGAUACCCGAGUAGUCC